rnacentral:rRNA from 1 species
UACAGAGGUCUCAAGCGUUGUUCGGAUUCAUUGGGCGUAAAGGGUGUGUAGGUGGCGCGCUAAGUCGGGUGUGAAAUUUCGGAGCUUAACUCCGAAACUGCAUUCGAUACUGGCGUGCUUGGGGACUGGAGAGGAGACUGGAAUUUACGGUGUAGCAGUGAAAUGCGUAGAUAUCGUAAGGAAGACCAGUGGCGAAGGCGGGUCUCUGGACAGUUCCUGACACUGAGACACGAAGGCCAGGGGAGCAAACGGG